AAGCUCUCCUUCAAGCUUCACCUCCAACACUAAACCCAUGGUCUUGAUCUCAAAUGAAACAAAAGAAAAGCUUCAAAGACUCAAAAGACCUCAUUAAAUCCAUUUCUAGGUCACAAAAUUUCCAUUUUAGGGUUUUAGCAUGAUUAGGGUUGAAGCUUACCUCAAAGCUUUCCCUAUCUUCAAGCUAGAGAUGAGGGAGAUGGAGUUUCUUCACUCCUUCUUCUUCUCCACUUUCUUCUUCUUCUUUUCCUUCCUUUCCUUUGUCUUCUUCUUCUUCUUCUU
rnacentral:lncRNA from 1 species